rnacentral:snoRNA from 1 species
GAGCCCAUUGCUUUAUCCAUUGUACCACUUCUCAGACCACCAGUUACUUUUUAUGUGCCACAUUAAUAGACUAUUAGCAGUAUAACUAGUCAUGCUGCCAGUCUCAUUCAGACUGUA